rnacentral:rRNA from 1 species
UAGAGUUUUGAUCCUGGCUUAKAUUGAACGCUGGCGGCAGGCCUAACACAUGCAAGUCGAGCGGAUGAGAGGAGCUUGCUCCUGGAUUCAGCGGCGGACGGGUGAGUAAUGCCUAGGAAUCUGCCUGGUAGUGGGGGACAACGUUUCGAAAGGAACGCUAAUACCGCAUACGUCCUACGGGAGAAAGCAGGGGACCUUCGGGCCUUGCGCUAUCAGAUGAGCCUAGGUCGGAUUAGCUAGUUGGUGAGGUAAUGGCUCACCAAGGCGACGAUCCGUAACUGGUCUGAGAGGAUGAUCAGUCACACUGGAACUGAGACACGGUCCAGACUCCUACGGGAGGCAGCAGUGGGGAAUAUUGGACAAUGGGCGAAAGCCUGAUCCAGCCAUGCCGCGUGUGUGAAGAAGGUCUUCGGAUUGUAAAGCACUUUAAGUUGGGAGGAAGGGUUGUAGAUUAAUACUCUGCAAUUUUGACGUACCGACAGAAW